rnacentral:rRNA from 1 species
GGGAAUAUUGCACAAUGGAGGAAACUCUGAUGCAGCGACGCCGCGUGAGUGACGAAGGCCUUCGGGUUGUAAAGCUCUGUUCUCAGGGAAAAAGAAAGUGAUUGUACCUGAGAAGAAAGGACCGGCUAACUUCGUGCCAGCAGCCGCGGUAAGACGAGGGGUCCAAGCGUUGUUCGGAAUUAUUGGGCGUAAAGCGGGUGUAGGUGGCUCUAUAAGUCAGGAGUGAAAGCCCCGAGCUCAACUUGGGAAGUGCUUUUGAUACUGUAGAGCUUGAAUGUGGGAGAGGAUCGUGGAAUUCCAGGUGUAGUGGUGAAAUACGUAGAUAUCUGGAGGAACACCGGUGGCGAAGGCGGCGAUCUGGCCCAACAUUGACACUGAGACCCGAAAGCGUGGGGAUCAAAC